UUAAGUUCAGCGGGUAUCCCUACCUGAUCCGAGGUCAACCUUAGAAAGAUUUUUUCCCACCGCCCCCGGGAGGGAGGGGGGAAAAGGAGACCGUGUCCCGAGAACCCUCAUUCCGAUACGUGCUCAGUUAAGAAGCUCAGUGUACCGGGGGUCCUGCGAGGCCGCCGUCAUUGUCUUUAGGAGGGGUCAGUCGCCUAACC
rnacentral:misc_RNA from 1 species